GUAGGUGGCAAGCGUUGUCCGGGAAUUAUUGGGGCGUAAAGCGCGCGCAGGCGGUUCUUUAAGUCUGAUGUGAAAGCCCACGGGCUCAACCGUGGAGGGUCAUUGGAAACUGGAGAACUUGAGUACAGAAGAGGAAAGCGGAAUUCCACGUGUAGCGGUGAAAUGCGUAGAGAUGUGGAGGAACACCAGUGGCGAAGGCGGCUUUCUGGUCUGUAACUGACGCUGAGGCGCGAAAGCGUGGGGAGCAAACAGGAUUAGAUACCCUGGUAGUCCACGCCGUAAACGAUGAGUGCUAAGUGUUAGGGGGUUUCCGCCCCUUAGUGCUGCAGCUAACGCAUUAAGCACUCCGCCUGGGGAGUACGGCCGCAAAGGCAG
rnacentral:rRNA from 1 species